rnacentral:rRNA from 1 species
GGGAACGUACCUUUUGGUUCGGAACAACACAGGGAAACUUGUGCUAAUACCGGAUAAGCCCUUACGGGGAAAGAUUUAUCGCCGAAAGAUCGGCCCGCGUCUGAUUAGCUAGUUGGUAGGGUAACGGCCUACCAAGGCGACGAUCAGUAGCUGGUCUGAGAGGAUGAUCAGCCACAUUGGGACUGAGACACGGCCCAAACUCCUACGGGAGGCAGCAGUGGGGAAUAUUGGACAAUGGGGGCAACCCUGAUCCAGCCAUGCCGCGUGAGUGAUGAAGGCCCUAGGGUUGUAAAGCUCUUUUGUGCGGGAAGAUAAUGACGGUACCGCAAGAAUAAGCCCCGGCUAACUUCGUGCCAGCAGCCGCGGUAAUACGAAGGGGGCUAGCGUUGCUCGGAAUCACUGGGCGUAAAGGGUGCGUAGGCGGGUUUUUAAGUCAGAGGUGAAAUCCUGGAGCUCUACUCCAGAACUGCCUUUGAUACUGGGAAUCUUGAGUAUGGAAGAGGUGAGUGGAACUGCGAGU